rnacentral:rRNA from 1 species
CGUGUAGGCGGUUAGGCAAGUCAGGUGUGAAAUCCCUUGGCUCAAACCAAGGAAGUGCGCUUGAAACUGCUUAACUAGAGUACAGGAGGGGAAAGUGGAAUUCCCAGUGUAGAGGUGAAAUUCAUAGAUAUUGGGAGGAACACCGGUAGCGAAGGCGGCUUUCUGGCCUGAUACUGACGCUGAGACGCGAAAGCGUGGGGAGCAAACA